UUCAAUGAUGUGUGCUGGGCAAGCUCAGAAAUGCGAUGAACUUUAGUUGUGUGGGAGCUUGGCCAAAUCAACAGAAUGUGCUGCUCGUUUCCAAAGUUCAUGUGAUGUCUAAACCUUGGUUGGUUAAUAGCUCCCUCUCAUCCAGAACGAUUCUGUUUUAAAGAGGUUGAGUCUCGGUGUCGGGGCAGCCCUGAGGAGCAGCUCUGUGGCAGCCGCGCCGAGUCCAGAGAGAGCUCAGUUCAGCAAGGCACAAGCACAACCUACACAAUUAAUAUGCCUCUUACAGAGCUUUUGCCAUCACCAUGCAGUGGACUGGUGUCCUGGAAAGGGGUGUUGGCUGAAGUUAAUAAGGAACAAGACGUUGAAAUGUGAAUUAUCCCCUGAAAGUUUUUCUAGAGAUAAGUAAAUGCAACAGUCCACAGAUGAUGCUUUUUCCUUUUCUUUGUAGCUAGACACCUCAUAAAAAAUGGAUUUUUUUUGAGUAAGUUUCCAAGACAAAGUAUCCUUUCCUGCACAAGCGAAAGCAGGAGAUUAUCUCUUACCUGUAGCUAUAAUCAGGAUAAUAUUACAAAUCUGUUUUUCCCCUACAAUCCUAUUUCUUUUUGCUAAAGUAAUUAAUUUUUUGUGGCAUCACAUACUUCAAGGAGAAAACACAAGAUGACUCUGCUACAGCAGAGCAGCAAAGAGGGGAUUUUUUUCUUUCUUGUUCUGCAAUAUUCAACAGAAAAUGCUUUAGGGUUUAGUCAUCUUUCUUCAAACCCAUGGCAGUUAAGAAGUGUUUUGCCAGCCCUUCUUCUGUGUCUGGCCAUGAACAGACAACAGCAGAAGUUCUGGCAGCUCUGCAGCCCUUUUGCACCAGUAGGGCUGAAGCAAGGACAGUACGGGCAAGCUGCAAACCUCUCCCCAGAAAAGCAGCAAGGAGUUUGUGCAGAAGUCUUAAAUGUGCACUGUCUCCAGUGAGGGACCUGGGUGCAUGAGGUUACACAGGGAUUAUCCUAAAGCUGCUGCCUCCUGUCUUGUAAUCUAGUGAUUUCCCACCCCAGCACAGCCAUUUAUUACAGUAAGAACACAAUUUAGUAUCUCUCUGAACCAUUACUACCGAAGGUAUCGUAAUUAGUUUCUGCUUGCGAAGCACUUGGACACGAAGGAACACUGUAAGUGCUAAGUCAUUAUCAUUCACCUUUACUUAAUACAUUUCUGGUUUAUUUAGCUGCUUGCGACCAAGGAGUCAGCAUGUCUUUGGCCAGAUUAUACAUGGAUGAAGCCAGUGAGAGCACAGGAACAGGGAGAUGGAGCCCUGAAAUCUGCCUUGCUCCAGAAAGCUGAGAGCUCUACAGGCUAUGACCACCACAUCUAACCCUUGGUGAAAUGAGUGUUAAGUCUGCUGAAGAGUAACAGAAAUGGAAAUAAACAGAGGG